rnacentral:rRNA from 1 species
UAUUGCCUACGGGGCGCAGCAGUGGGGAAUAUUGCACAAUGGGGGAAACCCUGAUGCAGCGACGCCGCGUGAGUGAAGAAGUAUUUCGGUAUGUAAAGCUCUAUCAACAGGGAAGAAAAUGACGGUACCUGACUAAGAAGCCCCGGCUAACUACGUGCCAGCAGCCGCGGUAAUACGUAGGGGGCAAGCGUUAUCCGGAUUUACUGGGUGUAAAGGGAGCGUAGACGGUGUGGCAAGUCUGAAGUGAAAGCCCGGGGCUCAACCCCGGGACUGCUUUGGAAACUGUCAUGCUGGAGUGCUGGAGA